UAUGUUGCUGGCCACUUGGUUAUUAUGCAGUGGAUUGGUACGUCAUGUACCACCCUCUGACACAGAGUUGAGAAAACUCCUUGGUAAAACACAAAGAACAAAGUCAAAUAAAGCUAAGCGUUCUGAUGCAAGGAAAAAGGAAGAAAAUAAUGGAGCAUCAAUUCAAUUUAUAUCUUCUGAGCCGUUAUCCAUACCUUGCAACAUGAACAUUCAACUGAGAACAGUGAAUGUUGAUGAAACAGAUUUGAUAUUUCAAUGUUAUUAUACAGAAUACAAGUGGCUCGUUGAUUUUGCUGUGUCUGCCGUGAUAUUCAAUAUCAUCAUCGAGGGGAUUUCGUGUUUAUUUCCCGCUCUUUUACGUAACGACAUCAGUGUGACGCCAUUAUGGAAUUUCUUGGGCAUAUUUU